CCUACGGGAGGCAGCAGUAGGGAAUUUUCGGCAAUGGGGGAAACCCUGACCGAGCAACGCCGCGUGAAUGAUGAAGUAUUUCGGUAUGUAAAAUUCUUUUAUAGAGGACGAAUGUUAUGUGGAGGAAAUGCCAUAUAAGUGACGGUACUUUAUGAAUAAGCCCCGGCUAACUUUUGCCAGCAGCCGCGGUAAU
rnacentral:rRNA from 1 species